UUUUCUCCUUUGUAUAAAUACAUACAAAUUUGUUAUUACAAUCAAUUUACGCAUGUAGUGGAGGGUUUUUUGUGCGCUAUGGGAUAUUCAGCCUAAGGGCUUUUUAAGCGAGAGCAAAAAUAUUUGAAUUUUAAAUGAAUUAUUAAGAUGUAUAGAUUUGACAUCUAGUUUGAUUAAUAGCUCUAUUGUUGGAACAUUAAAUUAAAUAUUUUACUAUAUAACUACGAUCAUUUCGUUGUUUUGAACAUUAAACGAAGGGAUUUAAAAUGAAAUCAGGGUAGCACGCGCUUGAAGAAUUCAAGCUAUGCCGGAUUUUAAAACCGUUUGAUUUUUGCUGGAUUUCGACCAAUACCUUAUCAACUAAAGGAGCAGACAAAGUUAAACAAUUUAAUCUGAAAGUAUUGUUAACGUUUAGUUUUGUGAAAUGAAAUAUUUAGCUAGUGUCUUGUUAAAGGAUAAAAACGGAUUAGCUAGAUAAAAUUUUACAAAUAAAGAUAUGUAAGCGCGGGAAAAUAAAUGUGCAAAUACGGAUUGCAAUGAAUGA